rnacentral:SRP_RNA from 1 species
AGAGCAAUCAGUUGUCGGAUUCGGAGCGAAUGGACUUGUUUGUCAGGAUCCUGCAGGGGAGAUAUUCAGCCAAGGCUCUGGGCAACGGUGACCCCUUCGGCGUGGAGCCUGUGAUGCCGCCGG